rnacentral:rRNA from 1 species
CGGGUGCACUGAUCCGGCCGGGCCUUUCCCUCUGUGGAACCCCAUGGCCUUCACUGGCUGUGCGGGGGAAACAGGACUUUUACUGUGAAAAAAUUAGAGUGCUCCAGGCAGGCCUAUGCUCGAAUACAUUAGCAUGGAAUAAUAGAAUAGGACGAGUGGUUCUAUUUUGUUGGUUUCUAGGACCGCCGUAAUGAUUAAUAGGGACAGUCGGGGGCAUCAGUAUUCAAUUGUCAGAGGUGAAAUUCUUGGAUCUAUUGAAGACUAACUACUGCGAAAGCAUUUGCCAAGGAUGUUUUCAUUGAUAAGGAACGAAAGUUAGGGGAUCGAAGACGAUCAGAUACCGUCGUAGUCUUAACUAUAAACUAUGCCGACUAGGGAUCGGACGAUGUUAUUUCUUGACGCGUUCGGCACCUUUCGAGAAAUCAAAGUGCUUGGGCUCCAGGGGGAGUAUGGUCGCAAGGCUGAAACUCAAAGAAAUUGACGGAAGGGCACCACCAGGGGUGGAACCUGCGGCUUAAUUUGACUCAACACGGGGAAACUCACCAGGUCCAGACACAAUGAGGAUUGACAGAUUGAGAGCUCUUUCUUGAUUUUGUGGGUGGUGGUGCAUGGCCGUUCUUAGUUGGUGGAGUGAUUUGUCUGCUUAAUUGCGAUAACGAACGAGACCUUAACCUGCUAAAUAGCCCGUACUGCUCUGGCAGUUCGCCGGCUUCUUAGAGGGACUAUCGG